CCUUUCAGGGGGAGAUGCAAGUUUAGGCAAUACAUGACAAAAAAGCCGGCUAAAUAUGGACUGAAGAUUUGGGUAACAUGCGAUGCGAAAACAUCCUACACCUGGAAACUACAGGUAUAUACAGGCAAAACAGCCAGCACUCCCAAGAUCAACCAGGGAAAGCGGGUGGUCCUGGAGCUAACAGAGGGGCUCCAAGGACACACUUGUCACCUGUGACAACUUCUUCACUUCAUUUGGACUGGCAGAGGAGCUGUUGAAGAAGAAGCUCUCCCUGGUUGGCACCAUCCAGAGGAACAAACCCGAGCUUCCUCUUCAGUUGCUCCAGACAAAAGGGAGAGCGGUGCAUUCCUCACAAGGACCCACACUGUCGUGUCUUACAUCCCCCGACAGUCCUGGAAUGUGCUCCUCCUGAGCACAAAGCACCGCGCCCUACAUGUCAAUGAGGAACCGAAGAGGAAGCCCGUAAUCAUCCAGGAUUACAACAGGUGCAAAGGAGGAGUGGACAACCUGGAUAAGGUCGUCAGCAUGUACUCCUGCCGGAGGAGAGUGAACCAGUGGCCGCUUGCUCUAUUCCAUAACCUUCUGGACAUCUCCCUUUAUAAUGCCUUAAUCCUGUGGACA